rnacentral:rRNA from 1 species
GUGCCAGCCGCCGUGCGGUAAUACCCGCAGCUCGAGUGGUGGUCGCUUUUAUUGAGCCUAAAACGUUCGUAGUCGGCCUUGUAAAUCCCUGGGUAAAUCGGACCGCUUAACGGUUCGAAUUCCGGGGAGACUGCAAGGCUAGGGACCGGGCGAGGUCAGAGGUACUUUCGGGGUAGGAGUGAAAUCCUGUAAUCCCGAAGGGACCACCUGUGGCGAAAGCGUCUGACUUGAACGGCUCCGACGAUGAGGAACGAAGGCUAGGGGAGCAAACCGGAUUAGAUACCCGGGUAGUCCUAGCUGUAAACUCUGCCCGCUUGGUGUGGCCUGUCCUUCGGGGGCAGGCUGUGCCGGAGCGAAGGUGUUAAGCGGGCUGCUUGGGGAGUACGGCCGCAAGGUUGAAACUUAAAGGAAUUGGCGGGGGAGCACCGCAACGGGAGGAUGCGUGCGGUUUAAUUGGAUUCAACGCCGGAAAACUCACCUGAGGAGACCAGCGUAUGUGGGUCAAGCCGAAGACUUUACCCGAACAACAGCUGGAGAGGUGGUGCAUGGCCAUCGUCAGCUCGUACCGUAGGGCAUUCACUUAAGUGUGAUAACGAGCGAGACCCCCAUCCCUAGUUGCUAACCCCUCCGAAAGGAGAGGUGCACUCUAGGGAGA